GUGAAAUUUGAUAAAGCUGAAAUAAAAUGUCCUGGAACAUAUAAGUAUAAAACUGUUUAGUUUCUGCCUGUCUCCUGGCUGCAUGGAUUUUUCUCCUGUGAUUUGCCGUGAGCUGAUAGAAAUCUGAGCACUAAAAGAUAACACUUCAAUUUUGAAUAAUGGAUGAGAAGAGCAUCUGCCUUCAAUCCCAACAUGUGCAAAGGAGAGUGUUUGGCAUUCAGGUUAAAUGAAAUAUGGUUCUCUCUCCAUCUGUUCUAACUUGAUUUUAGAUCUCUGCUUUGGGUAAGGACUUUUAGAUACUCUUGAUCUGUCAGUCUAAUCCUGCUCUUACUGAAAACAAUUGCGGAACUUGAUUUUAAGAGUACAAUAGGGUGGCACCCAGCAUAAUGGUAUCUCUGUCGAGAGUUCCCCAUGUCUAAACUGAAUUUACCUAUUUGUUACAUUUACCUGUUACUUACAGUAUCUGUUUUAGGUUUAGUGAAGGGUAAUUGUAGGGACAUUGGGAACCAUUUGUUGAUUAUUUCUGUAAGUUACUGUGUGAAUUUCUGAUUUUCUGUGUGAAUUACUGAUUUUAAAAGUAUGCUCUUCCUGUAAGUUAUGCUGAAGGAAUCAGUGAAUGAUAAAUAAAGUACCACUCUGACCUGUGUGAGCAGUCCUGAUCAUUUAGGUGGAUGUAGCUGCCAGAGUCUGCUCAGUCUAAUCCACAUUGCCCUCUGAUCUUAGUGUUGCUGUUUGUUGCUACAGUGCACAUUUCCUUUUCUCACCUGGAUAAGAGUCAUGUAGUGUCCUUCACCCUACAGCUUUUCUUCGUGCCUGUUCCAGCUUCCUUCUCAUCUCUGUGUAGCUGCACCUGUGUGUGCUGUUUUGUAGUGACCCUUAAGAAGAGUUCCUCGUAUCAGAAGGUGGAUGUGUGUACAUGCUCACACAUGCUCAUCUACACAGUGUCAACUGAUCAGUCAAUUCCAAGUGAACAGAGGAAGGUCACCAGAAGACAUCAAAUUCUUGUAAAUGCCAAGAACAUGGAUUACUGAGGAUAUGCUCUCUGUAGAAAAAUCUAUGUGGAAUAGAUUGCUCUUACAAAUAUCCCCACUGCAGCCAGCACAACCAAUGGAGUCUGUACUUUGAUCAUUAAGGUGAGCCAACCUCAAAGUUUAUAGGAAAAUAAGCUUUUUCA
rnacentral:lncRNA from 1 species